UAUACUCUUGCCAGAUACGGUCUCAUC
rnacentral:sRNA from 1 species